rnacentral:rRNA from 1 species
UACGUAGGGGGCAAGCGUUGUCCGGAUUCACUGGGCUUAAAGGGCGCGUAGGCGGACAAUCAAGUCAGGGGUGAAAGCCUCCAGCUCAACUGGAGAAGUGCCUUUGAUACUGACUGUCUCGAGGGAGGUAGGGGCAUGUGGAACUUCCGGUGGAGCGGUGAAAUGCGUAGAUAUCGGAAGGAACGCCGGUGGCGAAAGCGACGUGCUGGACCUCUUCUGACGCUGAGGCGCGAAAGCUAGGGGAGCAAACGGG